ACCUCCUUGUAAUGAAAUUAAGAGCUACUCAAAGGAGGUACAGCUCCUUUGACAAAGAAUACAACCUCCCCUAGCGGAUAACUACACCCCUCUCUCCUUGUGGGCCUUAAAGCAGCCACCAACAAAGAAUGCGUCAAAGCUCAUAACUCUAAAAAUCCAGAAAAACACACGACUCCCUUAUCUACAGCAGGCCAACCUAUAACAAUAGAAGAAUUAAUGCUAGAAUGAGUAACCUGAGGCCCCCCCUCCAAAAGCGUAAACUUACAUUAAUACAUUAUUAACAGACCACUUAUACCCCUACUUCAACAAGAACACAUAUUCCUCUCCCUGUUAAACCUACCCGGGAACGCACACUGGACGAUUAAAAUCUGCAAAAGGAACUCGGCAAACCCCAAGGCCCGACUGUUUACCAAAAACAUAGCCUUCAGCUAACAACAAGUAUUGAAGGUGAUGCCUGCCCAGUGACAUCAAAGUUCAACGGCCGCGGUAUCCUAACCGUGCAAAGGUAGCGCAAUCAAUUGUCCCAUAAAUCGAGACUUGUAUGAAUGGCUAAACGAGGUCUUAGCUGUCUCCUGCAGAUAAUCGGUAAAAUUGAUACUCUCGUGCAAAAGCGAGAAUGUGAACAUAAGACGAGAAGACCCUGUGGAACUUAAAAAUCAACGACCACCUAACUAAGUACUCCCCCAUACGGGUUCACCCACCAUCAUCAGUGCCUGGCCAGUAUUUUUCGGUUGGGGCGACCUUGGAGAAAAAAAAAUCCUCCAAAUAACCCAGGCCACAACCCUUCACUAAGAGCUACAACUCAAAGUACUAAAAGUCACUAGACCCAAUACAAUUGACCAAUGGGCCAAGCUACCCCAGGGAUAACAGCGCAAUCCCCUCCAAGAGCCCAUAUCGACAAGGGGGUUUACGACCUCGAUGUUGGAUCAGGACAACCUAAUGGUGCAGCCGCUAUUAAGGGUUCGUUUGUUCAAGAUUAAAAAUUCUACGUGAUCUGAGUUCAGACCGGGGCAAU
rnacentral:rRNA from 1 species